UACGUAGGGCGCAAGCGUUGUCCGGAAUUAUUGGGCGUAAAGAGCUCGUAGGCGGUUUGUCGCGUCUGCUGUGAAAACCUAAGGCUCAACCUUGGGCUUGCAGUGGGUACGGGCAGACUAGAGUGCGGUAGGGGUGACUGGAAUUCCUGGUGUAGCGGUGGAAUGCGUAGAGAUCAGCAGGAACCACCCGUGGCGAAGGCGGCCCCCUGGGCCGAACCUGACGCGUGAGGCGGCGAAGGCUAGGGGAGCAAACAGG
rnacentral:rRNA from 1 species